rfam:TPA: Bos taurus chromosome 9, whole genome shotgun sequence.
UAGCUCAGAUGGUAAAGCUUCUGCCUGAAAUGCAGAAGACCUGGGUUCGAUCCCUG